rnacentral:rRNA from 1 species
AUUGAACGCUGGCGGCAGGCCUAACGCAUGCAAGUCGAACGGUAACAGGAAGAAGCUUGCUUCUUUGCUGACGAGUGGCGGACGGGUGAGUAAUGUCUGGGAAACUGCCUGAUGGAGGGGGAUAACUACUAGAAACGGUAGCUAAUACCGCAUAACGUCGCAAGACCAAAAAGGGGGACCUUCGGGCCUCUUGCCAUCGGAUGUGCCCAGAUGGGAUUAGCUAGUAGGUGGGGUAACGGCUCACCUAGGCGACGAUCCCUAGCUGGUCUGAGAGGAUGACCAGCCACACUGGAACUGAGACACGGUCCAGACUCCUACGGGAGGCAGCAGUGGGGAAUAUUGCACAAUGGGCGCAAGCCUGAUGCAGCCAUGCCGCGUGUAUGAAGAAGGCCUUCGGGUUGUAAAGUACUUUCAGCGGGGAGGAAGGGAGUAAAGUUAAUACCUUUGCUCAUUGACGUUACCCGCAGAAGAAGCACCGGCUAACUCCGUG